rnacentral:tRNA from 1 species
AAUUAUAUAGUCUAGAAAGGAUACUGAAUUGCAAUUUCAGGGGGAGUUUUAAAAACUUAUAAUUU